AUUGAACGCUGGCGGCAGGCCUAACACAUGCAAGUCGAACGAGUGUCGGAGGGGUGAGUGAUGUCUGGGAAACUGCCCGAUGGAGGGGGGUAACUACUGGAAACGGUAGCGAAUACCGCACACCAUCGGAGGUGCCCAGAUGGGAGUAGCGAGUAGGUGGGGUAACGGCUCACCUAGGCGACGAUCCCUAGCUGGUCUGAGAGGAUGACCAGCCACACUGGAACUGAGACACGGUCCAGACUCCUACGGGAGGCAGCAGUGGGGAAUAUUGCACAAUGGGCGCAAGCCUGAUGCAGCCAUGCCGCGGGUAUGAAGAAGGCCUUCGGGUUGUAAAGUACUUUCAGCGAGGAGGCGUUACUCGCAGAAGAAGCACCGGCUAACUCCGUGCCAGCAGCCGCGGUAAUUUC
rnacentral:rRNA from 1 species